UUUGUGGACCACAUUACAAAGUCAAAAGAAGGAAAGAACCCUAAGUGAUAAAGAGCCAACCAACAGAAUUACCCAACAGAUAAUGACAUAUGGAUUUACAGUCACUAGUCAGAAAGGAUCCUAUCCCAGAUAUGUAGAUAGUGGUAGUAAUAUGCAGAAAUUAUUUAUAAACAAAAUAUUUUGGGGAAUGGCUGCUCAAAUAUGUUUUACUAACAGGGUGUGGUGAGUAUUGUGGUUAUUUGCUCAUGAUUCAUUCUACCCUCCUUCUAGAAAACUUUCUAGCCUUCAGAGGCUGGUAACUGAAAAGCUGUAUUUCCCAGGCUUUUUGAAGCUAAGGUUCUAGAUGUGAAUUUGGCUCCCCCAAACAGAAGCACUCACUUGAGAUUUAGAAAGCAGGUAUGAGGCAGAGGCCAUCUUCCUGCCUUUGGGGCUGUUUGAGUGCUGGCAAGCAUGGAGAUGGGGACAUGAGGGUUUUUUGCAACAGCAUUAUAGGGUCCACUCUCCAGCUUUGCCGUCAGUUUGUUCUUGAACUUAAUAGUUCCAGACAUAGACUCGGAAGGUGUAGCACCCCUGGUAAGUCAGUUUUUUUUGUUUGUUUGUUUUUUUUUUGUUUUUGAGCAGCCAUGCCAACAUACGUUUAUGAAUUAUUAUAUAAACUUAUUCCUGGAUCCCUAUUCCUCCAGCUCUUCCCCCCGCCCCCAUGACUUUAUAAGCACCAAAUUCCCUCUAGUAAAUAUCUUUCUGCUUAAAAUACCUAGACUGGGGCCAGGCGCAGUGGCUCACACCUGUCAUCCCAGCACUUUGGGAGGCCAAGAUGCUGGGAUUCCAGGUAUGAGCCACCGUGCCCCACCUUCCUUUCUCUCCUCCUCUUCUCACACCUUCCAGUCACCAACGAAGCCUGGAGCCCAUCACUUUUGCAAUACUGUUUUUCUAUUUCUCAUGUAGGUAUCUGGAACCCCUGCCAAAGGCCUCCAAAUUUUUAGCUGCACAAUCUGUGCCACGUUGUGGUCCCUUCUGCCUCUUCCAGUGUGAUCUAGAGAGACAAAAACUGCAAAGCCAGGCUAAAGGAUCAGCCUUCAUUACCCCAAGAUACUUCAGAGAAGCAAGGAUCUUUAACUUUUAAAGAAAUUCAAACCAGCAUGAAAAAGAUUCCAUGUCAGUGGUCAUCAACAGUAUAGCUUAAUAAAAUGAACCCCCAAAAAAGAAAAUGUUUAAAGUGGAUUUCAAAGUAUAUUUUUAUGCCCCAUGUAAUAAUAAACUGUUGACACUGAGUUUUUGUGGAACUAUAAGUAAACUGAAAUAAGGAAGGUCUUUCAAUUGAACUAUCUGCAAUUCUACAUUCAACAGAAUAUUUUGAAAGUAGUAUUUGCUAUGGACUCGGGGGAAAUAUCAGAAAAGUAUAUUUAUAGAGAUCCAAAUAAUAACCAAAGGGAGAAAACAGGACCAGAAGGGGACAUAAAAGAUGGGACAGGAUCAUCGACAGAGGAUCUUUAUCAGCACAAGCUUAGAAAAGGUUCUCUGCCUCUUCCAAAAGGCUGGACUGAAAAGAUAUGAUGUCACUUUCAAGUCAAUUUAAGACUCUAACAAGAGCUGGAAAUUUUCAUAAAGUGCCAAUUACAAGUUGGAAAUUUCUUCCUAGUAUCUUUGACUAGAAAGUUAUUUCCCAAUUCUCACAAAGAUUCCAUGACAAUUCUAUUUCCCUGGGCAAUUAACAGGUACGCAGAAGCUCAAGCACAUUCCUGCUGUAAGGCUGACACUCAUCCGUGUUCUGCACAUUUGUACAGAGUAUUACUGGCAUUCACGAUUCCAACAAAACUUUAAGAGACUUGAACAAAUCUCUACAGUUUAGACCAAAUCACCCGGCCCCUUGUUUAAAUUGUCUGAACCCCAGUGUAUCUGCACACCACCCAUCCCCUGGCACUCUGGAAUGAGCCUGGCCUGGUCUCUGGUGGCCCCAGGAGCUUGGCACUCUGAGAUACCCCUGUCUGUCUCGUCCUGCCCACUGCAACCAAAGCCCGCCUGCUGCAAUGCAAGCCAGGUCCAUUUUUAAAUUCCCUUAGAAGUUUCACAACCGCAGGUUUGGGUGAGGAGACAAACACCGCUGUAGUUUGCUGACAUUAAACUAAAAAUACCCGGCUGCAAACAAAAGCCAUCUUUAACGGGGCUGGCUCGGACGUCCUGAGGUUACAUGUGGUGGAGUCGGACGAUACCCUUGGCAGUGUGGCUGCCUUAACAACUGCUCCAGGCCGAGUGGGGCAAGGGGGCCGUCUGUCCCUGCGCUGUCAAGGAAUCUGCAGCCUGCAGCCCUGCCCGUUUGAUGGAAAGAACGGCUUUAUUCCUCUGCCACCGACCCAGACGCAGGUUUGAUGAAUUCGGGACUGCGUCUGCUUAGUGUUACACAGUGAAAGGGGAAGGCGAGAGGCAUAAACGAAAAACACCAACCCCACUUCCCAGGAAGGAAAUGUGUUUCCACCUUCCUCCUCCUUGCAAUUAGAAAAGCAAAUUAUUGCUGUGACUACACUGAGAAAGGCAACUCGGAGGCGUAGAAAAAGGAUUUCUGAGCCAACGUGGCCCGGCAGGGGGCUGUUAAGGGAGGGGAAACCGGAGCAGGGGAGCCUAGGCUUGGCGGAGAGACCUAGUUACCCCGGAAGGCUUCUCAGAAGGUUCUACCUGUUGGGUUUCGCAGCCGAGCUGCUCACCCCCGGCGGCCGCGCUCGAGGGCGCCCCUCCCUCCCCAGGUCCCAAACUUUUUCUCGCGCCCCUCGGAAGCUGCGAGCCUCGUCCCUCCCCCAGUCCAGAUUUCGGACGUGGAACUUUGCCUGAGCCACAGGGGACCGGAGGAAGGGAGUUCAUUCCCACGCAGCCCGGGGGAUUCUCGUUGCUCGGAUCCCAGAAGUAGGGGGAUGCACACGGACGGUCAGCCCAGGACCUGGUCAAAGUUUCCUCCAAAACUGCAGUGGUCAAGGCGUGACCCAGGAUCUCAGUUCCCAGCUCACGGGUGAGGGGCUGGAGUAGGCCCCGGGGCACCAGCUGCAAGGUCACUGCGGAGCCAGACCCCGGGGGCAAACGGCCAGCGCGUGAUGGAGGGGCAGUGCCGGGCACCCGACCUCUCUCCACACCUGCUCAGCUCUGCGCAGGGCCCGGGACACGUGGGACCCCAGUCCCGGGCUCCCCAGCCUGCUGCAUGGACUCGCACCCUUGCCAGGGCGUGUACCCUUCGCCCCCGGCCCCGCGACCAGGAAGAGGCGGCUCGCCGAGCGCAGAGCAGCCGGCUCCGGGUAAACUCUCAUUCUCAGACCCCGGCAGCACCGGAGAGUUUCGUUCUCCUCAAACCAGCCCCUCACCCCUGGCUGCUUCCCACACCUCUCCCUUUCCCUGCUACAUCGCAGACAGACAGACAAGGGACACAA